AUGAAAAUAUUGAGUUGGAACUGUCGAGGCUUGGGUCAACCUCGUACAAUUCAAGAGUUGGUGUGCUUCUCAAAGAUGCACAGACCCAAUAUUAUCUUUUUAUCUGAAACAAGAAAGAAUAAAGAGUAUGUUGAGAGCUUGCGCUAUAGGUUGGGCAUGAAUAAUGUUUUUACUGUUUCUGGCCAUGGUAAAGGUGGUGGACUAGCUCUGUUUUGA
rnacentral:rRNA from 1 species